UUUACCCGCGAGGCUGACAGAACCGUCGCGGAGCGGGUACGUGAGACGACGCAGUCUUCUAGACCACAUCUGCACGUUCCGGGGUUGGAAAGUCUGAGAGAGAAAACGUUUCAUUUGUUGUCCCCUCCGAUGCGUUUCCGAGUAAAACCUGUCGAUCGCGGUGAGACCCCGUCUGAAGGUGUCAGAUCCUCCACUGGCACCACAAAAUAGGCAGGUCAAUCGCUGUCUGUGAAGAUACGGAGAGAGAGCGGGAGGAAAGAAUCACGAAAACAGCCUUCUCUUUGUGAUUAUAGCUUGAGAGGGUAGAUUCCAACUUGGUGACUACAAGUGCAGAGUGGCAAAGUGGACAACCGUCUACAUUUGGGUGACAAUCGCGGUAGUGUGUUGCGCAGAACACGCAAAACGCAGGCAAAGCCGUAUAUACCUGAGGGUGCUUUCCUCUUGUUCGUGUCAAAAUGGAUACGGCGUGUGAAGCCGGUCGGAGCGCUCGCUGUCUCUCUGGUGUCCUACAACAUGAAGACUUUCUAGCGCCGGGGCCACAAAAUAACCCGAAAUGGCUUUGUUACCGAGGAAGCACUUCCCCUUCACUGUGCUACGCCUAUUACGCUGGCAUCAGCUAACGGUGCCGAUGUGCGGCAUUUCCACUCUGCAGAUAGGAGGAUUCGGGGAUUCCCUGACUUGUUUAGAGCACCCAUGGUUUGUAAUUCCUCAGGCACCCCCUUUGGGGGCAGUUCUCUUUGGU
rnacentral:lncRNA from 1 species